AGCAGCCGCGGUAAUUCCAGCUCCAAUAGCGUAUAUUAAAGUUGUUGCAGUUAAAAAGCUCGUAGUUGAAUUUCGGGGUUAGUAAGUUGGUCGUGCCUUCGGUAUGUACUGGCUUUGCUGAUUCCUCCUUCUUGAAGAACUGUGAUGCUAUUAAUUUGGUGUUGCAGGGAAACAGGACUGUUACUUUGAAAAAAUUAGAGUGUUUAAAGCAGGCUAACGCUUGAAUACAUUAGCAUGGAAUAAUGAAAUAGGACGUUUGAUCCUAUUUUGUUGGUUUCUAGGAUUGACGUAAUGAUUAAUAGGGAUAGUUGGGGGCAUUAGUAUUCAAUUGUCAGAGGUGAAAUUCUUGGAUUUAUUGAAGACUAACUACUGCGAAAGCAUUUGCCAAGGAUGUUUUCAUUAAUCAAGAACGAAAGUUAGGGGAUCGAAGACGAUCAGAUACCGUCGUAG
rnacentral:rRNA from 1 species